rnacentral:rRNA from 1 species
AUUGAACGCUAGCGGGAUGCUUUACACAUGCAAGUCGCACGAGUGGCGGACGGGUGAGUAAUAUAUCGGAACGUGCCCAGUAGCGGGGGAUAACUACUCGAAAGAGUGGCUAAUACCGCAUACUAUUGGAGCGGCCGAUCUCGGAUUAGCUAGUUGGGGGGGGAAAGGCUCACCAAGGCAACGAGCCGUAGCUGUUUUGAGAGGACGACCAGCCACACUGGGACUGAGACACGGCCCAGACUCCGACGGGAGGGAGAAGGGGGGAAUUUUGGAAAAUGGGGGAAACCCUGAUCCAGCCAUACCGCGUGUAUGAGAAGGCCUUAGGGUUGUAAAGUACUGUGGGCAGAGAAGCGGUAUCUGCAGAAUAAGCACCGGCUAACUACGGGCCAGCAGCCGCGGUAAUUC